GAUGAACGCUGGCGGCGUGCCUAAUACAUGCAAGUCGAGCGAACAGACGAGGAGCUUGCUCCUCUGACGUUAGCGGCGGACGGGUGAGUAACACGUGGAGAACCUACCUAUAAGACUGGGAUAACUUCGGGAAACCGGAGCUAAUAUCGGAUAAUAUAUUGAACCGCAUGGUUCAAUAGUGAAAGACGGUUUUGCUGUCAUUUAUAGAUGGAUCCGCGCCGCAUUAGCUAGUUGGUAAGGUAACGGCUUACCAAGGCGACGAUGCGUAGCCGGACUGAGAGGGUGAUCGGCCACGCUGGAACUGAGGCACGGUCCAGGCUCCUACGGGAGGCAGCAGUAGGGAACCUUCCGCAAUGGGCGGAAGCCUGACGGAGCAACGCCGCGUGAGUGAUGAAGGUCUUCGCAUCGUAAAACUCUGUUAUUAGGGAAGAACAAAUGUGUAAGUAACUAUGCACGUCUUGACGGUACCUAAUCAGAAAGCCACGGCUAACUACGUG
rnacentral:rRNA from 1 species